rnacentral:rRNA from 1 species
GACGAACGCUGGCGGCGUGCUUAACACAUGCAAGUCGAACGAAGAGCGACGGAAGCUUGCUUCUAUCAAUCUUAGUGGCGAACGGGUGAGUAACGCGUAAUCAACCUGCCCUUCAGAGGGGGACAACAGUUGGAAACGACUGCUAAUACCGCAUACGAUCUAAUCUCGGCAUCGAGGAUGGAUGAAAGGUGGCCUCUACAUGUAAGCUAUCACUGAAGGAGGGGAUUGCGUCUGAUUAGCUAGUUGGAGGGGUAACGGCCCACCAAGGCGAUGAUCAGUAGCCGGUCUGAGAGGAUGAACGGCCACAUUGGGACUGAGACACGGCCCAGACUCCUACGGAAGGCAGCAGUGGGGAAUCUUCCGCAAUAGACGAAAGUCUGACGGAGCAACGCCGCGUGAGUGAUGACGGCCUUCGGGUUGUAAAGCUCUGUUAAUCGGGACGAAAGGCCUUCUUGCGAAUAGUGAGAAGGAUUGACGGUACCGGAAUAGAAAGCCACGGCUAACUACGUG